GUGAAGUUCGCCUGUUCAGCGACCGGUCUCUUUUGGACGUCGUCUGUCUUUUCGGCUCCCCGUGCAUUCUUGCCUUCCUUCUGCACUUCGACACGGCACCACUGCAAUAUUGGGCUACGGCAAGAUGUCGCAUAUGGAAAAAUUACGCUGAAUAGGGAGUCCCGGUGGGGCCGACAUGGGAGCAGAUGUACAACGGCUACAGCCUCUGCUCGGACCACUUGACCGAAAGGGACUACGCCGACCCUGUCCGUCCUGUUUGGCUAUGCAGAUUGUUCGAGUGGAAAGCAGUCCCUGAUUGAUGAAGGUUUGCGUCCACCAUGCUGCCGGACCCGCCAGACAGGUUGACUAUCCCGACGGCGUGAGUCCUCGCGUGGAGCUUUUGUCUUCCCCUGUUGGUGUUCCCGAAAUACCAACGGGAAUCCGGCACGGUUCGAGGUCGUCGACCACAGUAGCACUGGAAGGUCGUUCAAGGAAGACCCAUCCCCUUCAGCUGAGCGCCUUCUAAGCGAAGAGGCAACGCCGAACGGAUGCAGCCAUCGGAGAAGUCCACAUUUAUAGAAGAUGACGCCACUUGCACGGGCCAUAAGAUUAGACGAACCGGACGACACCUGUAUGCGCUCGACAACUGGAUGAAAAUUAUGUCUGCACGGGCUCGACGAUUGGCUAAAUGGAAAUGGAAGUACAUAAUGGAAAUAAACCUUCAUUUCACUAAGUCCGCCUCAACUUCGGCCAUCUGCCGCAUGGAACGGCUAGAUGCAAUAGUAGGCAGGUGGCCACUCGCUCAUUGGAGAAUGGCGUAACAACAACGUAAGCCACCGAAGUACUGCUAGCAGCUUUGAUUUAA